AUUGAACGCUGGCGGCAUGCUUUACACAUGCCAGUCGAACGGUAACAGGCCGCAAGGUGCUGACGAGUGGCGAACGGGUGAGUAAUGCAUCGGAACGUGCCCAGUCGUGGGGGAUAACUACUCGAAAGAGUAGCUAAUACCGCAUACGAUCUAUGGAUGAAAGCGGGGGACCGUAAGGCCUCGCGCGAUUGGAGCGGCCGAUGUCAGAUUAGGUAGUUGGUGGGGUAAAGGCUCACCAAGCCAACGAUCUGUAGCUGGUCUGAGAGGACGACCAGCCACACUGGGACUGAGACACGGCCCAGACUCCUACGGGAGGCAGCAGUGGGGAAUUUUGGACAAUGGGCGCAAGCCUGAUCCAGCAAUGCCGCGUGCAGGAAGAAGGCCUUCGGGUUGUAAACUGCUUCUGUACGGAACGAAACGGCUCUGGUUAAUACCCGGGGCUAAUGACGGUACCGUAAGAAUAAGCACCGGCUAACUACGUG
rnacentral:rRNA from 1 species